CUAAUCUCAAAGGGGUGCUUAAACUUCUGUUUAGACAGAAAGCGAGCUGAGAUCAUACCCAAUGAACCUGGGCGGAUAAUGCCGCCAAGGGAAUCGCUUAAAAUACCGG
rnacentral:ncRNA from 22 species